AUACCCAAUGCCCCAUAGCCCAAAUACAACGGCCCAAUAACUGGAACAGACCCCAACGGACCCAAAAAUUGAGCCAAGUUUCGGCAAACCCUAAGUCACCCCUCUCUCCUGCGCCGCAACAGCAACUGGGCAAUAGACCCAUACCUCCACUACAGCAGUCCCAUACCUCCACAGCCCUCGUACGCCACGCCCCCACCCCGUGCGCAUGCCUACAGACUCUGUACCUGCAAGAAAGAAACAAAAACAGCAGCGAAUGGAAACAAAUAUAUUGUAUAUUUUCGGUUGAUUUCCUUUUUCGACUAUAAAAGCCCAGCUUUUAAUCUUUGUAAAAGGGGGGGCAUAUUUUUUACGAACGAAUACACAAUAGGCAAUACAAAAAAAGCAAUAUUGGAAGGUGAUUUCUCCGAUCUAAAUCUCUUGGGCUUUCUCUUUGUGAUUAUUUUCUUGCUUUUUUUUAUUUCGAGAGUAAAUAAAAGAAAAGGGGAACACGAACACAGACGCACACAGAAUAUACACGCACAGAAAUAUAAAAAAAAAGCAAUUAAGAAUUUGCAAGGGUAAUCUCAAGUUUUCUUUCGUUCUUUCUUUUUUUUUUCUUUUUUUGUUUGGUUUAGAUCGUCUUUUAGUAGGUAAAUCGACUCCAAUGAGAUCCCGAAUACUUUAAGAUACAAAAGUAGGGGAGAGGGGUCAAGUGGUGUUGAAUCUCUAUUUUAUGAACUUUCUUCGUUUUUUUAAAAAUGUAUGAGAUUUGAAGUUUUAUUUUUUCUCAAGUAAAAAAGAAAAUACUUACUAAUUUCCUCAAGGCAUGGUCGAAUACUUACAGCAACAGAAUCAGGAAUUGUUUUGCGCGCCGCUGGACACCAAAUCGAUAGAGAUUCAGCCGCUUGUAAAAGGAACCCUAGCAAAUUUAAUUUCAAGGCUGCUGGUUUUUGUUAAAAUGGAUGGGUAUUUGAAAGGAAAGGAAGGGAAAAAUGGUUUAAAAUGGUCUGAAAUACAAAACAGUGCUGCCCAUGACCAUAAGGGUCCGCGCGUGGGCCCGAAUAGAAAAAUGGAUCUGCGCCAUGUUGUGUGAAUGGGGAAAUUGCGCGCUGAAUCCUUCCCUUGCGCACAACCUUCAAUUUGCGCCCCAAUUUCCCUCCCUUAUGUUUUAAAAUUUAGCUCGCUAAUUCAUGCGUUGCUUCACUUUGAUCCACGAUCCAGUUUAGUAUUAUGGGCGCAGGAUAUUUUCACUUCUAGUCCUCGUACAUUUGCACACGUGGCACAUUGAUCCUAUUUUAUAAUUAUC
rnacentral:lncRNA from 1 species